UACAGAGGGUGCAAGCGUUGUUCGGAAUUAUUGGGCGUAAAGCGCGUGUAGGCGGCAUGGCAAGUCGGGUGUGAAAGCCCUCAGCUUAACUGAGGAAGUGCGCCCGAAACUGCCGUGCUUGAGUGCCGGAGAGGAAAGCGGAAUUCCUGGUGUAGAGGUGAAAUUCGUAGAUAUCAGGAGGAACACCAGUGGCGAAGGCGGCUUUCUGGACGGUAACUGACGCUGAGACGCGAAAGCGUGGGGAGCAACAGGGAUUAAGAAACCCU
rnacentral:rRNA from 1 species